rnacentral:rRNA from 1 species
UACGAAGGGGGCUAGCGUUGCUCGGAAUUACUGGGCGUAAAGCGCACGUAGGCGGCUUUCUAAGUCGGGGGUGAAAUCCUGGAGCUCAACUCCAGAACUGCCUUCGAUACUGGAGAGCUCGAGUCCGGGAGAGGUGAGUGGAACUGCGAGUGUAGAGGUGAAAUUCGUAGAUAUCGGGAGGAACACCGGUGGCGAAGGCGGCGAUCUGGGUCGAUACUGACGCUGAGGUGCGAAAGCGUGGGGAGCAAACAGG